GAGCCUGUCUGGUAGUAAUGAGAACUGCUAAUUCCUCACCACCGUGGUUCAAUUCCAUGGCCUGCUCG
rnacentral:tRNA from 1 species